GCCGAGCACAGCGAGAAAACAUCGGCAGAAAACACCGUUAUCGGAAUACCAGCAUUUUUCGAAUUUAUCUUUAAUUAUGUGGGUGUGCAAAAUCAAAAUCUUUAUUUGCAUACCGAUUGUCAAUGAAGUAUUUAUUUAAACAAUGUAACACAAGUAACGCGUCAAAUUUUUCUUACACUUAUCGGUGAAUAUUUGUUUAGACCAAAUUUUUUAUUUAAGCAGUUAACUGUGUUCGGAGAGUAUACACGUCAUUUUAAAACUUGAAAUCAUACAUGUAAUUCUUUUUUCUUUUGAUUUGUUUUUCAUUAAAGUAUACCCUAGGUGUGAUACCCUAGAUUAGCAGGUUGAAUGCAUGCAAUUCUUAGUCUUCGUAUACUUAAAAAACUAUUUUUUCUUCUAUUUCUAUAAUGAAAUUGUCUGAAUAUGAGAACGAAAUGACAAAGAUAAAUGAAAAUAUUGGAUACAUUGCUUGUGAAAGAAAUAAUAAAUUGUAACCUGUGCUACGAUUUUUCGGAGUGAAACCACAAACUUUCUCUACGAUUUGAUAUUAAAAGAUUCGGCUGUUUCUGCGCGGAACGAGCAGUAUAGGAAAUGGGUAUAUAUUGACCUUUAGGCGUCAGUACCAUUUAUCCGGGCGGAGAGGCUCAGUGAUAGAGGGACGUGUUAACUUAUAAACAAACGCAGAGCGACCCUUGAAACUAAUGGGUCUGAGUAUAAAGUUCAGUUGCCGAGUGACCGACGAAAAGUUUCGAUUUGGAUGAAAAUUUCCAUUCACAGAAAUGGGUUUUUUAUAGGAACAAAUCAAUCAAAAGUUUCACAUUAAACGAACGAAAUGAUCAAAAAAUGGCUAAGAAAAGGCUACAAAGUGGCUAUUAAGUGUUCACCAAGUGCAAAUUGAAUUAUUAUAACCAUUUGCCCUACAAUAUCAUGUCAGUAUGGAAGGAAAGAAGACAAGUCGAAGUGGUUGGCAGAAAAUAAUAUAGUGCACGCAUCAACAAUGAGAAAACACAAGUUGUACAAACUGAUCGAAAGAAAUAAAAACUUGAAGAAAGUAUACAAAAUUCAUACACUUUUAAAGAACCCUUAGUUUAUUUAGGGCCACGUGAGAUCAAGAAAUACUUCGGAAUUGACAAAUGAUGAAUUAGAAAUGUACACUGAUGAAGCAAAAGCAGAAGUUACUCUAAACGAUUGGGAAAAGUAUUGUUCUCACGUGAAGAACUUGGAAAAGAGAAUAUUGGCUGAAGGAUGGGCUGAGAGAAUAUAGGUUAGAAAGCACGUACUUACGAAGUAAUUUGGAAAACGAAUCUGAUGAAGACAGUACUGCAGAAAGUAGGAAAAAAUCAAUUUGUGAUACGAAUACUUGUGUGCAAUACGGGGACUAAAACAGGGAUAUUGCUUAUUUGACAUUGAAAAUACCAAGCAGAGAAUCAACUCAGCCGUAUGCUGCAAUUUAUCCGGAAGAGAUAAGAAGCGCGAAGUCUUCGGCAGUUCGAAAAUACAUUUUCGUGAACAUUUUUAUGAACAAAAUAAUGAAUUUUGAUUAUAAUGCAAGAACUCGUAACAGCUCAAUUUUUAUUGCAAAUUAAUGGCGUUCGACACGGCAAAGAAAACUGCAAUAGAAGUUGUUUCUUUGCAAGAUGGAAGGAGAAGAAACGGCGUUAAAAAUGAAACCGAACGUUUCUUGCGAAAAAUAUUUCGACAUUUUUCAUUGUAGAUAAAUGCCAUGCACGUGACCUCGAAGCCUCGAACUAUGGUACCGUAUAACAUAUUGUCUCUCGAUUGCGUGUCUAAAGUUCUCGUCAAACGGCCGAUCGCCGUGAACGGUAAAAAGUGGUGCGUGAAUUUGUAUAAUAAAAACACGCGUUGCGACACAAUACAUAAUGAACAGAAUAGAAGAAAAAUGUUAAAAAGACGCAAAUAGAAUAAUUAGGCGUGCAGGAGAGAAUGUCGCAAAGAAUGUCGUAAAAUCUGCUUCUAAACGAGACGAAAUUAUCGUUAAAAGAAAAUAUUAUUAUCAAAAAAUUUAGUUAGAAAAUAACUGAACUGUGUUACCAUACAAUGGCAAUAAUCUGUUUUCUGUGUAUUCUUUGUCAUUAAUGUUUACAAAACAUAGGAGAAUUCAUUAGAAUAUCUAUGAAAUAUUAUUAUUUUAUAAAAAUACAAAAUGAUAAUUCUCAAUUUUAACAUUGCCUUGCUUUAUUGACUUUUAAUGAAAAUUUUUUUAAGCGAAUGUGUGCAUUUCCAACUUGUGUCGACCAGUUUGUGUGGCAAGCUUUGUAGCAACUUACGAUGAGUACAAUUGAUGUGCAGUUGGGGUAAUGGGCUAUUUAGUUAUGUAAUACUGUGUAAUAAUAAUCAUAGCACAGAAGAUUGGGACAAUUGAACUCGCGAACAAUAUAAUUGGGU